AAAUUCUGUAGUUAAUGACUCAUCGUUAAUUUGGUAGCUGAUGUACAGCUGAGUUCGGGUUAUAAAAUGGCAUGUCAGCAGCCCGUGUGAUAGAGUGAUGAAUUGAAUAUCUUGUCCCUGCCAAGUGCUCUAUUUUUUGAAAUAUUGAUGAACCAUUAUGGGGUGAGGGUUAGAGACUGGUGGACUUGGUGGUUCUUUUUUUAAUUAUUAUUCUUUUUUAUAUUUUUACACUUAGCUGUCUUGUGUAUAUUCAUUCCUAGAUUGUCUGGUGUUGCUUGUUUCCUAUUCCCCGUCUUAUAAAAUUGUUGCUUUAAGAUCUCAUAUAGCGUACUAGAGAUCCUGGGUUUUAUGCUCAUUUCAUGAACAAAAUGACUCUUGAAUGAAUAAAUUAAGCUCAACGUUGGAAUUAAAGUUUGUUGUGAUGAUAGGCAUCAAAAUUGAACUAUCAUAUGCUAUUAUGAUGUGUAUGGCUUAGGCAUUAGUAUCCAGUCUUUCUAUUCUUUAAUGACAAACAGAGCCUUCAUUUUUUUUUCUCACCUUACCCACUUUGCACGUUGUUUUCAAAGCAUAUAAAAUCAAAACUUAUUUAACAUUGCCUUUGCAGCAUUCAAGGUGGAGAUCUUCAGA
rnacentral:misc_RNA from 1 species